rnacentral:rRNA from 1 species
UGGCUUAGAAGCAGCCAUCCUUUAAAGAGUGCGUAACAGCUCACUGGUCGAGGAUCUCUGCGCCGACAAUGUAGGGGGCUAAGCAUUGCACCGAAGCUGCGGGAUUUGCACGUAAGUGGAAAUCGGUAGGGGAGCGUUCCAUGCGGGGAGAAGUCGAACCGGAAGGUUUGGUGGACUGCAUGGAAGUGAGAAUGCCGGCAUAAGUAGCGCAAAGUAUGUGAGAAACAUACUCACCGGAAGCCCAAGGGUUCCUGGGGAAGGCUCAUCCACCCAGGGUUAGGCGGGACCUAAGGCGAGGCUGAAAGGCGUAGCUGAUGGACAACAGGUAGACAUUCCUGUCCCGACACUGUGACGCAUGGACCGAAGGGGUGACGCAGAAAGCUAGGCGGAGCCGGGGGAUGGAAGACCCGGUUCAAGGGGGUAGGCAGGGUUCGCAGGAAAAGCCGUGAGCCCAAAUGCUGAGACCUGAUGGGGAGCUCCGUAAGGGGCGAAGCCGCUGACGCUCUGCUGCCGAGAAAAGCCUCUAGGGAGGAACAGUGUUGCCCGUACCCGAGACCGACGCAGGUGGGCUGGCUGAGAAGGCUAAGGUGAGCGGGAUAACUCUCGUUAAGGAACUCUGCAAGUUGACCCCGUAACUUAGGGAGAAGGGGUGCCACUGCGGUGAAGUCAAUGCUGGCGGAGCCGCGAGUGGUCGCAGAAACCAGGCUCAGGCGACUGUUUACUAAAAACACAGGACUCUGCAUAAGGCGCAAGCCGAAGUAUAGGGUCUGACACCUGCCCGGUGCUGGAAGGUUAAAGGGAGAGGUUAGUCGCAAGGCGAAGCUUUGAACUGAAGCCCCAGUAAACGGCGGCCGUAACUAUAACGGUCCUAAGGUAGCGAAAUUCCUUGUCGGGUAAGUUCCGACCUGCACGAAUGGUGUAACGAUCUGAGCGCUGUCUCGACGGGAGACCCGGUGAAUUUGUGGUUCUGGUAAAGACACCAGAUACCUGUGGUGGGACGGAAAGACCCCAUGGAGCUUUACUGUAACCUGAUACUGGAUUUUGGCAUGUCAUGCACAGGAUAGGUGGGAGACAUUGAAGCCAUGACUUUGGUUGUGGUGGAGUCGACGUUGGGAUACCACCCUUGAGAUGCCGGAAUUCUAACCGCAGCGUCUGAAUCGACGAGCGGGACACUGUCAGGCGGGCAGUUUGACUGGGGCGGUCGCCUCCUAAAGAGUAACGGAGGCGCGCAAAGGUCACCUCUGGGCGGAUGGAAAUCGCCCGUGCGAGCGCAAGUGUAUAAGGUGGCCUGACUGUGAGACUGACAAGUCGAGCAGGGACGAAAGUCGGUACUAGUGAUCCGGCGGUUCCGAAUGGAAGGGCCGUCGCUCAACGGAUAAAAGCUACCCCGGGGAUAACAGGCU